rnacentral:rRNA from 1 species
AUUGAACGCUGGCGGCAGGCUUAACACAUGCAAGUCGAGCGGAGAUGAGGUGCUUGCACCUUAUCUUAGCGGCGGACGGGUGAGUAAUGCUUAGGAAUCUGCCUAUUAGUGGGGGACAACAUUCCGAAAGGAAUGCUAAUACCGCAUACGUCCUACGGGAGAAAGCAGGGGAUCUUCGGACCUUGCGCUAAUAGAUGAGCCUAAGUCGGAUUAGCUAGUUGGUGGGGUAAAGGCCUACCAAGGCGACGAUCUGUAGCGGGUCUGAGAGGAUGAGCCGCCACACUGGGACUGAGACACGGCCCAGACUCCUACGGGAGGCAGCAGUGGGGAAUAUUGGACAAUGGGGGGAACCCUGAUCCAGCCAUGCCGCGUGUGUGAAGAAGGCCUUGUGGUUGUAAAGCACUUUAAGCGAGGAGGAGGCUACUGAGACUAAUACUCUUGGAUAGUGGACGUUACUCGCAGAAUAAGCACCGGCUAACUCUGUGCCAGCAGCCGCGGUAACAC